AGGGUUUGAUUAUGGCUCAGGAUGAACGCUGGCGGCGUGCUUAACACAUGCAAGUCGAACGGGAUCGGCUGGAGCUUGCUCCGGCCGUGAGAGUGGCGAACGGGUGAGUAAUGCGUGACCGACCUGCCCCAUACACCGGAAUAGCUCCUGGAAACGGGUGGUAAUGCCGGAUGCUCCAGUUGGAUGCAUGUCCUUCUGGGAAAGAUUCUAUCGGUAUGGGAUGGGGUCGCGUCCUAUCAGGUAGUCGGCGGGGUAACGGCCCACCGAGCCUACGACGGGUAGCCGGCCUGAGAGGGCGACCGGCCACAUUGGGACUGAGAUACGGCCCAG
rnacentral:rRNA from 1 species